GGGGGGGGGGGGCAAGCGUUGUUCGGAUUUACUGGGCGUAAAGGGCUCGUAGGCGGGCCAUCUAAGUCGGGUUGUGAAAUCCCUCGGGCUCAACCGGGGAACUGCGACCGAGACUGAAUGGCUUGAAGCCGGGAGAGGGAUGCGGAAUUCCAGGUGUAGCGGUGAAAUGCGUAGAUAUCUGGAGGAACACCCGUGGCGAAGGCGGCAUCCUGGACCGGUCUUGACGCUGAGGAGCGAAAGCUAGGGUAGCAAACGGGAUUAGAUACCCCGGUAGUCCUAGCCGUAAACGAUGAAUGCUUGGUGUGGCGGGUAUCGAUCCCUGCCGUGCCGUAGCUAACGCGUUAAGCAUUCCGCCUGGGGAGUACGGUCGCAAGGCUG
rnacentral:rRNA from 1 species